CAGCAGCCAUAACCCCUACAAUAUGUUGAUUGGUAGGGAUGUAUUUCAAAUCUGUAGAUAUGGAUACAGCAGCUAACAGCAAUUGAGCACAAGACCAAUCUGUACUACUGACACCAGCUGCUUGGCCCAACAAGUUCAACCAACCGACGACCCAGGCGACAACGGGCAUUGAUCUGGCAGGAACUAGGUCCUUGCAAGUAAAAUAUAAACCACCGGAUGUUGGGUAAGCAGAAACUAGCUCGGCAACGGAUAGAGCGAUACACAUACAACCAGCACCAGCAAUUAACCAACACCAAACAGCUGAUGGAGCACCUCCUGAAAUCAAGGGAUAUGAAUAUGUUGUGACGACAGUAGCGAAAAGCCCAGAAAUUGAAAAAGCAAAAGAAAAAGUGGCCCAGGUAGAAAAUUCUCUUUUAAAGACAGGUUUGUAGCCCAAUUCAAGAAGUUGGUUGUCUUCAUCGUUGCUGACUUCGAAAUCGGUUUCAGAAUGGGAAACAUGUUUUAAGGAUUUUAAAUUACUAAAACCUUCUUCCUUGUCAUUGAACUUUCCUUGUUCAUUAACGCUUACGUUAGAAACCGAAUCCAUACUAUAAUUUAUUUAUCCACUUUAACGUUCAAAUAUGCUUAUCAAAAAUUCGACGUAUUUUCCUUUUUCACCUUUUUUUACUAAAAAACCGAAAAACAAAACAAACAAACAAAAAUGUAAAAAGUCAAAGUUUCUUCGCAAAAGAAGAGAUUAUAUACGACUUUCAAUUUCACCCUUUGGACGACUCCAAAUUGAUUUAAAGAAAAAGAAAUUUGCUCUAAAAAGAAAAAAUCUCUUCUGAAAUAAUCGCUAUAUCUCAAAUUGACCUAUAUAUGAGACUUUUUAUUUCAAGGUGAAAAUAUUGGCGGAGACUGGCAUGAGAUUUUUCUAUCUGUCGUUAAAGCAAUUUUGGCUACCACGUGCGCGAAUUAUCAACAAAUUUUUUAUAUACUCUUUUAGCAAGAUUCUUUAGUUUGUUAUCUGCUUCGUAGAAUGCGUAGGCAAACACUUCAAUUAUUCAUUGUUUUGGCAACACAUUUGCAUUAAUGAAAUACCUAACUAGUUAUGCCAAUUAGUCUGCUAAACCAUUUUUUGUUUCUCUCGGGUACCAGAUAUUCGCUACAGAUGCAUAACUCGGACUCUAUCUCUUUAAAUUUUAACUUUUUAGACAACUUUGGCCUACGAAGAAUCGUUCACGAUUGUUGAAAAAAGUUGUUGGAAGUUAAUAUUACGUUGAGCAUAUUUGAUUUGGAGGUGGAACAGAACAACUGGAAUUUUUGAAAAACUAAGUAUAUAAAAAUACAUGUGAUAGUGUGAAAUUUUGUUUAAAUAGGUUUGAAAAGUGUUUGGGCAGCAUUGACAAGUUUGGUCCUUUAAAAGCUUUAAAUUGAGUACAACCACAAACACUUCUUUGAUAAAAAAAGAGAAGCCAAAAGCAUCACAUUUCGCUGAAGUGUCCUUUUCUAUAGUUCGUUGGAAAUGAUUAUCCUAAUGGAACAAUAUGUAUUAAUUUGCAAUUAUUUUUAUAAUAUUCGCUGGCAUCAUGAAGUAAUAUCAGUUUUGAAGGCGCUCCAUGUAAAUUUUAUACCCAGCAAAAACCUUGAAGUCCAAAUAUUCAUACAUUAAGUAUUUACGGAAGCUUUUCUAUUACUAUUCUUCAAAAAAAUCUAUACAUUUUUGAAAGAUCAUCAAAUAUUUAUGAAUAUAUCUAUGUAUAUUUCAAAGACUUUCAAAUUACUCAAUAAAUUGUCAAAAGCCG